rnacentral:rRNA from 1 species
UGGGGAAUAUUGGACAAUGGGCGCAAGCCUAAUCCAGCAAUGCCGCGUGUGUGAAGAAGGCCUUCGGGUUGUAAAGCACUUUUAUCAGGAGCGAAACGCUGUCGGCUAAUACCCGGCGGAACUGACGGUACCUGAGGAAUAAGCACCGGCUAACUUCGUGCCAGCAGCCGCGGUAAUACGAAGGGUGCAAGCGUUAAUCGGAAUUACUGGGCGUAAAGCGUGCGUAGGCGGUUUCUUAAGUCUGCUGUGAAAUCCCGGGCUCAACCUGGGAAUGGCAGUGGAUACUGGGAGGCUAGAGUGUGUCAGAGGGUGGUGGAAUUCCCGGUGUAGCGGUGAAAUGCGUAGAGAUCGGGAGGAACAUCAGUGGCGAAGGCGGCCACCUGGGACAACACUGACGCUGAGGCACGAAAAGCGUGGGGGAGCAAACAGGAUUAGAUACCCUGGUAGUCCACGCCCUAAAGCGAUGCGAACUGGAUGUUGGUCUCAACUCGGAGAUCAGUGUCGAAGCUAACGCGUUAAGUUCGCCGCCUGGGGAGUACGGUCGCAAGACUGAAACUCAAAGGAAUUGAC